AGCUACAAUACUGUGCUGUAGUUAGGUCUUCUCGGUCUCCUCCAUCCAUGAUGCUGUCUACAGCUUUCCUCAGCUUUCACGACCUUUGCACUUUCAGAGAGCACCCGUGAGGUCUUUUGUAGCCUGUCUGAAGGUCUGGUCUCUCACGACUGGACGGAAGUUAUGAAUUAGGGGGGAAAUAUCAAGCAGGAGGAGACGUGAUAUGGACGGGGAAUGUUGUCAGUAUGUCUCAGUGUUGUUGAUCACUUGCUUCGAUGACGCUUGUCAGAUUUUUUCACUAAUAUAAACAGACUAACAGAGGAUACAAACCACAUCUUCAUUUUCCUAUUAUCUUUCAUUCCACUGAGUUUUCUAUCUUCCACAUUUUCUAUUGAGAUGGUUUUAAGGCAGCUGGAGACACAAGCACAAUGUUUUUUAAAUGAAGAAUUCACUGGAGUCAGAGGAAAAAUGGGAAGUUGAUUUCUCCUUGGAAACAAAGAACUGAAGAGAAGGGUGUCUGGGGAGAGCGGUAGUGGAGAAAAGUGAGAGGAGAGUGCGUGAGGCCGAUUCUGUGGAUCACCGCAGGCGA